CGGAUUGUAGUCUGCAACCCGACUACAUGAAGCUGGAAUCGCUAGUAAUCGCGGAUCAGAAUGCCGCGGUGAAUACGUUCCCGGGUCUUGUACACACCGCCCGUCACACCAUGGGAGUCGGAAAUGCCCGAAGUCUGUGACCCAACCUACGGGAGGGAGCAGCCGAAGGCAGGUCGGAUGACUGGGGUGAAGUCGUAACAAGGUACC
rnacentral:rRNA from 1 species